rnacentral:rRNA from 1 species
AUUGAACGCUGGCGGCAGGCUUAACACAUGCAAGUCGAGCGGGGUGAUGGUGCUUGCACUAUCACUUAGCGGCGGACGGGUGAGUAAUGCUUAGGAAUCUGCCUAUUAGUGGGGGACAACAUCCCGAAAGGGAUGCUAAUACCGCAUACGUCCUACGGGAGAAAGCAGGGGAUCACUUGUGACCUUGCGCUAAUAGAUGAGCCUAAGUCGGAUUAGCUAGUUGGUGGGGUAAAGGCCUACCAAGGCGACGAUCUGUAGCGGGUCUGAGAGGAGGAUCCGCCACACUGGGACUGAGACACGGCCCAGACUCCUACGGGAGGCAGCAGUGGGGAAUAUUGGACAAUGGGGGGAACCCUGAUCCAGCCAUGCCGCGUGUGUGAAGAAGGCCUUAUGGUUGUAAAGCACUUUAAGCGAGGAGGAGGCUCUUUUGGUUAAUACCCAGAAUGAGUGGACGUUACUCGCAGAAUAAGCACCGGCUAACUCUGUGCCAGCCGCCGCCGUAA